CAACCUCAACUCAUAUGGGACUACCCCCUGAAUUUAAGCAUAUUAAUUAGGGGAGGAAAAGAAACUAACAAGGAUUUUCUUAGUAGCGGCGAGCGAAAAGAAAACAGUUCAGCACUAAGUCACUUUGUCUAUAUGGCAAAUGUGAGAUGCAGUGUAUGGAGCGUCAAUAUUCUAGUAUGAGAAAUUAAUGAUUUAAGUCCUUCUUAAAUGAGGCCAUUUACCCAUAGAGGGUGCCAGGCCCGUAUAACGUUAAUGAUUACUAGAUGAUGUUUCCAAAGAGUCGUGUUGCUUGAUAGUGCAGCACUAAGUGGGUGGUAAACUCCAUCUAAAACUAAAUAUAACCAUGAGACCGAUAGUAAACAAGUACCGUGAGGGAAAGUUGAAAAGAACUCUGAAUAGAGAGUUAAACAGUACGUGAAACUGCUUAGAGGUUAAGCCCGAUGAACCUGAAUAUCCGUUAUGGAAAAUUCAUCAUUAAAAUUGUAAUAUUUAAAUAAUAUUAUUAAGAAUAAUGUGCAUUUUUUCCAUAUAAGGACAUUGUAAUCUAUUAGCAUAUCCCAAAUUUAUCAUAAAAUAUAACUUAUAGUUUAUUCCAAUUAAAUUGCUUGCAUUUUAACACAGAAUAAAUGUUAUUAAUUUGAUAAAGUGCUGAUAGAUUUAUAUUAUUACAGAGCGUUAAUUUUUCGGAAUUAUAUAAUGGCAUAAUUAUCAUUGAUUUUUGUGUUUAUUAUAUGCUCUUGUAUGAUUAACAAUGCGAAAGAUUCAGGAUACCUUCGGGACCCGUCUUGAAACACGGACCAAGGAGUCUAACAUAUGUGCAAGUUAUUGGGAUGUAAACCUAAUAGCGUAAUUAACUUGACUAAUAAUGGGAUUAGUUUUUUAGCUAUUUAUAGCUAAUUAACACAAUCCCGGGGCGUUCUAUAUAGUUAUGUAUAAUGUAUAUUUAUAUUAUUUAUGCCUCUAACUGGAACGUACCUUGAGCAUAUAUGCUGUGACCCGAAAGAUGGUGAACUAUACUUGAUCAGGUUGAAGUCAGGGGAAACCCUGAUGGAAGACCGAAACAGUUCUGACGUGCAAAUCGAUUGUCAGAAUUGAGUAUAGGGGCGAAAGACCAAUCGAACCAUCUAGUAGCUGGUUCCUUCCGAAGUUUCCCUCAGGAUAGUGGUGCAUUUUAAUAUUAUAUAAAAUAAUCUUAUCUGGUAAAGCGAAUGAUUAGAGGCCUUAGGGUCGAAACGAUCUUAACCUAUUCUCAAACUUUAAAUGGGUAAGAACCUUAACUUUCUUGAUAUGAAGUUCAAGGUUAUGAUAUAAUGUGCCCAGUGGGCCACUUUUGGUAAGCAGAACUGGCGCUGUGGGAUGAACCAAACGUAAUGUUACGGUGCCCAAAUUAACAACUCAUGCAGAUACCAUGAAAGCGUUGGUUGCUUAAAACAGCAGGACGGUGAUCAUGGAAGUCGAAAUCCGCUAAGGAGUGGUGUAACAACUCACCUGCCGAAGCAACUAGCCCUUAAAAUGGAUGGCGCUUAAGUUGUAUACCUAUACAUUAACCGCUAAAGUAGAUGAUUUUAUAUUACUUGUGAUAUAAAUUUUGAAACUUUAGUGAGUAGGAAGGUACAAUGGUAUGCGUAGAAGUGUUUGGCGUAAGCCUGCAUGGAGCUGCCAUUGGUACAGAUCUUGGUGGUAGUAGCAAAUAAUCGAAUGAGACCUUGGAGGACUGAAGUGGAGAAGGGUUUCGUGUGAACAGUGGUUGAUCACGAGUUAGUCGGUCCUAAGUUCAAGGCGAAAGCCGAAAAUUUUCAAGUAAAACAAAAAUGCCUAACUAUAUAAACAAAGCGAAUAUAAUACACUUGAAUAAUUUUGAACGAAAGGGAAUACGGUUCCAAUUCCGUAACCUGUUGAGUAUCCGUUUGUUAUUAAAUAUGGGCCUCGUGCUCAUCCUGGCAACAGGAACGACCAUAAAGAAGCCGUCGAGAGAUAUCGGAAGAGUUUUCUUUUCUGUUUUAUAGCCGUACUACCAUGGAAGUCUUUCGCAGAGAGAUAUGGUAGAUGGGCUAGAAGAGCAUGACAUAUACUGUUGUGUCGAUAUUUUCUCCUCGGACCUUGAAAAUUUAUGGUGGGGACACGCAAACUUCUCAACAGGCCGUACCAAUAUCCGCAGCUGGUCUCCAAGGUGAAGAGUCUCUAGUCGAUAGAAUAAUGUAGGUAAGGGAAGUCGGCAAAUUAGAUCCGUAACUUCGGGAUAAGGAUUGGCUCUGAAGAUUGAGAUAGUCGGGCUUGAUUGGGAAACAAUAACAUGGUUUAUGUGCUCGUUCUGGGUAAAUAGAGUUUCUAGCAUUUAUGUUAGUUACUUGUUCCCGGAUAGUUUAGUUACGUAGCCAAUUGUGGAACUUUCUUGCUAAAAUUUUUAAGAAUACUAUUUGGGUUAAACCAAUUAGUUCUUAUCAAUUAUAACGAUUAUCAAUUAACAAUCAAUUCAGAACUGGCACGGACUUGGGGAAUC